AUCUUUGACAAAGUUGUAAUGAGUAACUAACCAAAACAACCAUAGCAACACCUUGACAACCAGCCUCAACCCUCGAGUAUGGGUGACUGUAUACCUUCACAUCGGAAAAUGGACAUGAUGUUGUGCAGUUGGACCAAUGCAUUUUGAAAGAUUUCCUUUUGCCCUUGUGAUGUUCAUUGUAUUUGCAUAUAAGAGAUCAAGACAUGGGAUUUUGACAACCAUAAUAAACCACAUACCACCUCAACCCCUGACUUUAGUCAUGCACACAUAAACCAGCAGACAGACACCCCUGCCAGCACCUGUGACUGAAUGAAGGCCUGUGACUCAUCUGAGGAGGCAACAGGUCCAUCUGGAGCAAAUCUGUCUAAACAUCACCACACACACACACAGGUAUAUUCACUUCUACUUUACCCCCCUACAAAUACAGACGUGCCUGAGGCCAGGUGUAGUUUCCCAUGUUGAGACGCUCACACACAGACACAAAUGUAAUUACCAGUACAACGGUGAACAAAUG